rnacentral:sRNA from 1 species
GCGAGUGAGACGAUGCGGUGACUCAUU